UACGGGGGGGAGCAAGCGUUGUUCGGAAUUACUGGGCGUAAAGCGCGCGUAGGCGGCUUUGUAAGUUAGAGGUGAAAGCCCGGAGCUCAACUCCGGAAUUGCCUUUAAGACUGCAUCGCUAGAAUCAUGGAGAGGUGAGUGGAAUUCCGAGUGUAGAGGUGAAAUUCGUAGAUAUUCGGAAGAACACCAGUGGCGAAGGCGACUCACUGGACAUGUAUUGACGCUGAGGUGCGAAAGCGUGGGGAGCAAACAGG
rnacentral:rRNA from 1 species